rnacentral:rRNA from 1 species
UACUGGGCUGUAAGCGUGCGUAGGUGGUUCGUUAAGUCUGUUGUGAAAGCCCUGGGCUCAACCUGGGAAUGGCGAUGGAUACUGGCGAGCUAGAGUACGGUAGAGGAUGGUGGAAUUCCCGGUGUAGCGGUGAAAUGCGUAGAGAUCGGGAGGAACAUCAGUGGCGAAGGCGGCCAUCUGGACCAGUACUGACGCUGAGGCACGAAAGCGUGGGGAGCAAACAGGAUUAGAUACCCUGGUAGUCCACGCCCUAAACGAUGCGGACUGGACGUUGGGCACACUUCGGUGCUCAGUGUCGAAGCUAACGCGUUAAGUCCGCCGCCUGGGGAGUACGCUCGCAAGAGUGAAACUCAACAGGACUUGACGGGGGCCCGCACAAGGCGGUGGAGUAUGUGGUUUAAUUCGAUGCAACGCGCAGAACCUUACAUGGCCCUUGACAUGUCUCAGAACCCUUCCGAGAUGAGGGGGUGCCUUC